rnacentral:lncRNA from 1 species
UUUCCACUGUCAUCACUAUCAUUUUUAAAAACCAUUUUGGACUCUUGGACUCUGUCAGUGACAUCUGUCCACACAAAAAAUGCCCAAACUCAGUGGCAAUUUUCUUUUUUUUUUUUUUUUUUUUUUUUUAAUAUAGUUUUCACAAUGUUCAUUCAAUGUUGCAAAGAUUUCUAAUUAGCACUUCUGCUCUUCAGAGUGGAUGAUAUGAGAGCUCUUAUUUUUUUACUGUCUCCAUUGCUCACAUUGUUACUUGAACAACCAUUUAAAGCAAGUUUUUAAUUACUUUUUUUUACAGGAGCUGAAUAAGAAAUAUAGUAAAUAAAUAUGCUUCUUGUAUAAGCAAAAGUAGCUGGAAUUAACUGCUUAUCAGCAACACUACACGUGAGUCCUAUUUCCACAAAAUCUUGGUUCUUGGCAAAGAACACACUUUAAUCCUGCUGGCUUCGGUUUAGCACUCGUGCAAGUACUUCUUUGGUUCAUGGACACUAUAUUAUGUACCUUGUUUGAGACAGAUCUAUGAGGUGAAAGAGGCGUGGGAAGGGAAUGGGGAUGAUAAAAUGUGUGAUACAGGCACACUCAGAAGGUUUUUUUUUUCCAGAUACAAAGAAGCAAACCUCCAGAAAUGUAAUGCUGAAAGUGAGAAAACUUCAGAAGUCUUCAAUUUUUAUUUUUUCAUAUUAUCCCUAUGAGAUAGCACUGACCAUAUUCUGCAGCCCAGUGCACUUCUGAGAUGGUGUAUUUUGAGUUACGUUUAUGAAUUGAAGUCAGAAGCUGACACCCUGACUUUGAAUGGUUUGAUAUUCCUUUGGAACAUCAGAAAAAGCUCUUUGUGCUGUGAUACAGCCAAGACAAGAUUUUAAAAUGCUGACAGACAGCUUUGUGACUCACUGGGAAGUCUGCAGAGCCAGCACAGAGACUGUGCCACACGGCACUGGUCUUAACUGUGCUUUCACCUCAAUCUGGCAAGCAGUGCAAGAUCAAGCAGAACAAGUAGAAUCCAA